GCUUGGCCGUAAACCUCACUAACACCUUAAACGCCAGGGAACUACGAGCUAUGCUUAAAACCCAAAGGACUUGACGGUGUCCCAUCCAACUAGAGGAGCCUGUUCUAUAAUUGAUACCCCCCACUCAACCUUACCACUGCUAGCCCAUCAGCCUGUAUACCUCCGUCGCAAGCCUACCAUGUAAAUGCUAUAUAGUAAGCCCAAUGAAACUUCUUCAACACGUCAGGUCAAGGUGCAGCCCAUGUAGUGGAAAGUAAUGGGCUACAAUUUCUACUCUAGAAUAUACGAAAAGUCGCAUGAAAUUGCUACCAGAAGGCGGAUUUAGUAGUAAGAAGAAAACAUAGAGCUCUUCUUAAUACGGACCUGGGUCACGUACAAACCGCCCGUCACCCUCUUCGUAAUGCCCAACUACAAUUUACCUAAAACUCUUUAGGCCCCAGAAGAGGUAAGUCGUAACAUGGUAAGUAUACUGGAAAGUGUACUUGGAAUAA
rnacentral:rRNA from 1 species